rnacentral:rRNA from 1 species
AGCAGCCGCGGUAAAUUCCAGUCGUUCCAAUAGCGUAUAUUAAAGUUGUUGCAGUUAAAAGCUCGUAGUUGAAUUUCGGGAUCAAUUUGUCGGUCGUGCCAAUGGUAUGAACUGGUACAAUUGGUUUCUCCCUUCUGACGAAGCAUGAUGUCAUUAAUUUGGUGUCGUGGGGAAUCAGGACUGUUACUUUGAAAAAAUUAGAGUGUUUAAAGCAAGCAUUAGCUUGAAUACAUUAGCAUGGAAUAAUGAAAUAGGACGUUUGAUCCUAUUUCGUUGGUUUCUAGGAUCGACGUAAUGAUUAAUAGGGAUAGUUGGGGGCAUUAGUAUUCAAUUGUCAGAGGUGAAAUUCUUGGAUUUAUUGAAGACUAACUACUGCGAAAGCAUUUGCCAAGGAUGUUUUCAUUAAUCAAGAACGAAAGUUAGGGGAUCGAAGACGAUCAGAUACCGUCGUAGUCUUAACCAUAAACUAUGCCGACUAGGGAUCGGAUGAUGUUAAUUUUUAAUUGA